UUAGAUGCUCGGUAACUGGAGCUGUGAGAGU
rnacentral:piRNA from 1 species